rnacentral:rRNA from 1 species
UACGGGGGGGGCAAGCGUUGUUCGGAAUUACUGGGCGUAAAGGGCUCGUAGGCGGCCAACUAAGUCAGACGUGAGAUCCCUCGGCUUAACCGAGGAACUGCGUCUGAUACUGGAUGGCUUGAAUCCGGGAGAGGGAUGUGGAAUUCCAGGUGUAGCGGUGAAAUGCGUAGAUAUCUGGAGGAACACCGGUGGCGAAGGCGGCAUCCUGGACCGGUAUUGACGCUGAGUGAGCGAAAGCCAGGGGAGCAAACGGG